rnacentral:rRNA from 1 species
ACACAUGCAAGUCGAACGGGAAAACAGGGGCAACUCUGUGAGUACAGUGGCGUACGGGUGAGUAACACGUGACUACCUACCUUUUAGUGGGGGAUAACCCCGGGAAACCGGGGCUAAUACCGCAUAACAUCGCAAGAUCAAAGAAGCAAUUCGCCGGAAGAGGGGGUCGCGGCUGAUUAGCUAGUUGGUGAGGUAACGGCUCACCAAGGCGAUGAUCGGUAGCCGGCCUGAGAGGGCGCACGGCCACACUGGAACUGAAACACGGUCCAGACUCCUACGGGAGGCAGCAGUGGGGAAUUUUGCGCAAUGGGGGAAACCCUGACGCAGCAACGCCGCGUGGAGGAUGAAGUCCCUUGGGACGUAAACUCCUUUCGACCCGGACGAUAAUGACGGUACGGGUGGGAGAAGCACCGGCUAACUUCGUGCCAGCAGCCGCGGUAAUACGAGGGGUGCAAGCGUUGUUCGGAAUUAUUGGGCGUAAAGGGCGCGUANGCGGUGCGGUAAGUCACCUGUGAAAUCUCCCGGCUCAACUGGGAGCUUGCAGGCGAAACUGCCGUGCUGGAGUAUGGGAGAGGUGCGUGGAAUUCCCGGUGUAGCGGUGAAAUGCGU